GAUGAACGCUAGCUACAGGCUUAACACAUGCAAGUCGAGGGGCAGCAUGGUCUUAGCUUGCUAAGGCCGAUGGCGACCGGCGCACGGGUGAGUAACACGUAUCCAACCUGCCGUCUACUCUUGGACAGCCUUCUGAAAGGAAGAUUAAUACAAGAUGGCAUCAUGAGUCCGCAUGUUCACAUGAUUAAAGGUAUUCCGGUAGACGAUGGGGAUGCGUUCCAUUAGAUAGUAGGCGGGGUAACGGCCCACCUAGUCUUCGAUGGAUAGGGGUUCUGAGAGGAAGGUCCCCCACAUUGGAACUGAGACACGGUCCAAACUCCUACGGGAGGCAGCAGUGAGGAAUAUUGGUCAAUGGGCGCAGGCCUGAACCAGCCAAGUAGCGUGAAGGAUGACUGCCCUAUGGGUUGUAAACUUCCUUUAUAAAGGAAUAAAGUCGGGUAUGUAUACCCGUUUGCAUGUACUUUAUGAAUAAGGAUCGGCUAACUCCGUG
rnacentral:rRNA from 1 species